rnacentral:rRNA from 1 species
UGAAUACGAGACGCUAAGGCGUCGAAGUAGUGUAUGUCAUACUUCCAAGAAAAGCUUGCACUGUCAUAGAUAAAAAACGCCUGUACCAUAACCGACACAGGUGGGUAGGUAGAGUAUACUAAGGGGCGCGAGAUAACUCUCUCUAAGGAACUCGGCAAAAUAACUCCGUAACUUCGGGAGAAGGAGUGCCUUAUUCUUAAGGUUGCAAUAACAAGAUCCAAGCAACUGUUUAUCAAAAACACAGGUCUCCGCUAAGUCGUAAGACGAUGUAUGGGGGCUGACGCCUGCCCAGUGCCAGAAGGUUAAAGAAGCUGGUUAGCAUUUGCGAAGCUAGUAACUGAAGCCCUGGUGAACGGCGGCCGUAACUAUAACGGUCCUAAGGUAGCGAAAUUCCUUGUCGGGUAAGUUCCGACCCGCACGAAAGGCGUAAUGAUUUGGAUACUGUCUCGGAGAGGGGCUCGGUGAAAUAGACUUGUCUGUGAAGAUGCGGACUACCUGCACCAGGACAGAAAGACCCUAUGAAGCUUUACUGUAACUUGAAAUUGAAAUUGGACUUUAUUCGCGCAGUAUAGGUGGGAGGCGUUGAUUAUAAUCUUGCGGGAUUAUUGGAGCCAUUAGUGAGAUACCACUCUUGUAAUGUUAGAUUUCUAACUUUGAAUCAUUAUCUGGUCAAAGAACAGCUUCAGGCGGGCAGUUUGACUGGGGCGGUCGCCUCCUAAACGGUAACGGAGGCGUACAAAGGUUUCCUCUGAACGGUUAGAAAUCGUAUCUAGAGUGUAAAGGCAUAAGGAAGCUUGACUGUGAGACCUACAAGUCGAGCAGGGACGAAAGUCGGUCUUAGUGAUCUGACGGUACUGAGUGGAAAGGCCGUCACUCAACGGAUAAAAGUUACUCUAGGAUAACAGGCUGAUCUCCCCCAAGAGUUCACAUCGACGGGGAGGUUUGGCACCUCGAUGUCGGCUCAUCGCAUCCUGGGGCGGUAGUACGUCCCAAGGGUUGGGCUGUUCGCCCAUGAAAGCGGUACGCGAGCUGGGUUCAGAACGUCGUGAGACAGUUCGGUCCAUAUCCGGUGUAGGCGUUAGAAUAUUGAGAGGAGCCUUCUUUAGUACGAGAGGACCGAGAAGGACAUACCUCUGGUGUACCAGUUAUCGUGCCAACGGUAAACGCUGGGUAGCUAUGUAUGGAGUGGAUAACCGCUGAAAGCAUCUAAGUGGGAAGCCCACCUCAAGAUAAGUAUUCUCA